GUCUGGUGCCAGCAGCCGCGGUAAUUCCAGCUCCAAUAGCGUAUAUUAAAGUUGUUGCAGUUAAAAAGCUCGUAGUUGAACUUCGGGGUUUACCCAUUGGUCAGGCUUAAUUGUCUGUACUGGUGAGAUGAAUCUCUACCUUCUGAGGAACUUUCAUGCCAUUUAUUUGGUGUGAUGGGAAAUCAGGACUGUUACUUUGAAAAAAUUAGAGUGUUUAAAGCAGGCUAACGUCUGAAUACAUUAGCAUGGAAUAAUGAAAUAGGACGGACUGAUUCUAUUUCGUUGGUUUCUAGGAUCACCGUAAUGAUUAAUAGGGAUAGUUGGGGGCAUUAGUAUUCAAUUGUCAGAGGUGAAAUUCUUGGAUUUAUUGAAGACUAACUACUGCGAAAGCAUUUGCCAAGGAUGUUUUCAUUAAUCAAGAACGAAAGUUAGGGGAUCGAAGACGAUCAGAUACCGUCGUAGUCUUAACCAUAAACUAUGCCGACUAGGGAUCGGACGAAGUUAAUUUUAUAAUGACGCGUUCGGCGCCU
rnacentral:rRNA from 1 species